rnacentral:rRNA from 1 species
GACGAACGCUGGCGGCGUGCCUAAUACAUGCAAGUUGAGCGCUGAAGGUUGGUACUUGUACCAACUGGAUGAGCAGCGCACGGGUGAGUAACGCGUGGGGAAUCUGCCUUUGAGCGGGGGACAACAUUUGGAAACGAAUGCUAAUACCGCAUAAAAACUUUAAACACAAGUUUUAAGUUUGAAAGAUGCAAUUGCAUCACUCAAAGAUGAUCCCGCGUUGUAUUAGCUAGUUGGUGAGGUGAAGGCUCACCAAGGCGAUGAUACAUAGCCGACCUGAGAGGGUGAGCGGCCACAUUGGGAAUGAGACAAGGCCCAAACGCCUACGGGAGGCAGCAGUAGGGAAUCUUCGGCAAUGGACGAAAGUCUGACCGAGCAACGCCGCGUGAGGGAAGAAGGUUUUCGGAUCGUAAAACUCUGUUGGUAGAGAAGAACGUUGGUGAGAGUGGAAAGCUCAUCAAGUGACGGUAACUACCCAGAAAGGGACGGCUAACUACGUG